GUCUGUUUGAAGUUAUAUACAGUCUGGCCUGCCCACUGGGAAACUAAAGGGCCGCGGUACUCUGACCGUGCAAAGGUAGCAUAGUAAUUAGUUCUUUAAUUGAGGACUGGAAUGAACGGUUGGACGAGAAGUUAGCUGUCUCUAAUGUAAAUCUUGAAGUUUACUUUUAAGUGAAAAGGCUUAAAUAAUAUAAAGGGACGAUAAGACCCUAUAAAACUUUACUUCUUGUUUAAAAAGUAGUUGAAUUAAGGUAUAAAUUUGCUUUUGGAAUAAGUGUUUUGUUGGGGCGAUAGAAAUAUAAAUUGUUAACUGUUUUUAAAUCAAAAAUAAUGAUAAUUAGUUUAAAUGAUCCUUUAGUAUGGAUUAUAAGAUUAAGUUACUUUAGGGAUAACAGCGUAAUUUCUCUUGAGAGACCUAAUCGACAGAGUUAGUUGCGACCUCGAUGUUGAAUUAAGAUAUCAUUUAGGUGUAGAAGUCUAAAUAGUAGGUCUGUUCGACCUUUAAAAUCUUACAUGAUUUGGAAGCUCAAACCGGCGUGAG
rnacentral:rRNA from 1 species